GGGGAUUGGGCAGUGCACCAGAAGUAUCUACCACAUUCCCGAGGUUUACUUCAAGAUGCAAUUGGGCCUGCCUGUCAAGCCUUUGCAAUAAACAUUCCAUGCAUAUCUAAUGAGUGACACAAACACAGCUUGGUCAAAUCCAAUAUGGGUGUUCCUGAUCUGCCUGUAGCUCUCCUCCAACCCAGACUCCUUUCAAACUGUGGCUCCACCAUCUUCAAUAUGGAGCUUCCAAGAUCGCCCUGCUGCCCUGCAUCAAGCCUGCAAAAGAGGAUAGGGGGUCAGGCCACUCAUAUUUCAUUGGCCCAAAUUCAGUCACAUGGCCACACUCACUGCAAGGGAAACUGGGAAAUGGAGUCUAGCUCUGUGCCCAAGAAGCAAAGAAAAACAGAUUUGAUGAAGACUUAGUCAAUCUCUGCAACAAUGAAACAGUUAAGAAGGCAAAAGAAAAAGAAUUUUACAACCUGAGGAGGGAGAGAAAAUUCAGUUAACAAAAAGAUAGACUACACGCCAAGGUAGUCUGCAGAAUUCUACCUACCCAAAUCAUGUGUUAAAUUGUGAAAGAAGUUAUGAUAAAAAUAGGAUAAGGGUGAAAUUUGAAAAAUGCUCUGGGGACACAUAGCACACUCCUUCCCUGGUGACACAGU
rnacentral:lncRNA from 1 species